GACCCUGGUGCUCACACAGGCUCCUCUCUUGCAGCCUCCACCACGGCCCCAUCGGUUUUCCCACUGGCCCCCAGCUGCGGGGUCACGUCCGGCUCCACAGUGGCCCUGUCCUGCCUGGUGUCCGGCUACUUCCCCGAGCCAGUGACCGUGUCCUGGAACUCCGGCUCCGUGACCACCUUCCCGUCCGUCCUGCAGUCCUCAGGGCUCUAUUCUCUCAGCAGCAUGGUAACAGUGCCUUCCAGCCGGUGGCCCAGUGACACCUUCACCUGCACCGUGGCCCAUCCGGCCAGUAACACCAAGGUGGAAAAGACAGUGCCCAAAACCAUAGGUGGUGGUCAGGGUGGCAGUACAACAUGCAAGGAAUGUCCCAAAUGUCCAGCCCCUGAAAUGCUGGGAGGGCCUUCGGUCUUCAUCUUCCCCCCGAAAGCCAAGGACACCCUCUCCAUUACCCGA